rnacentral:sRNA from 1 species
UAAUACGAUGGGCUUGGUUCUCUUGGGC